rnacentral:sRNA from 1 species
GCUGGGCAUGGUGAUAUAUAUCUGUAGUCCCAGCUACUUGAUAGGCUCAGGUGAGAGAAUCACUUGAGCCCAGGAGUUUGAGACCAUCCUGGGCAACAUAGUGAGAUCCUGUC